UACGUAGGGUGCAAGCGUUGUCCGGAAUUAUUGGGCGUAAAGAGCUCGUAGGCGGUCUGUCGCGUCGGAUGUGAAAACUCGGGGCUCAACCCCGAGCCUGCAUUCGAUACGGGCAGACUAGAGUUCGGUAGGGGAGACUGGAAUUCCUGGUGUAGCGGUGAAAUGCGCAGAUAUCGGGAGGAACACCAAUGGCGAAGGCAGCUCACUGGGACGGUACUGACGCUGAGACGCGAAAGCGUGGGGAGCAAACAGG
rnacentral:rRNA from 1 species